GACUCCAUGAAGCUGGAUUCGCUAGUAAUCGCGCAUCAGCCAUGGCGCGGUGAAUACGUUCCCGGGCCUUGUACACACCGCCCGUCAAGCCAUGGGAGCCGGGGGCGCCUGAAGUCCGGGACCGCGAGGACCGGCCUAGGGCGAAACUGGUAACUGGGGCUAAGUCGUAACAAGGUACC
rnacentral:rRNA from 1 species